rnacentral:tRNA from 1 species
GGAGAGGUGUCCGAGUCCGGCUUAAGGAGCACGCCUGGAAAGCGUGUAUGGGGGGAACUCCAUCGGAGGUUCAAAUCCUCUCCUCUCCGCCA